CCUACGGGUGGCAGCAGUGGGGGAUAUUGCACAAUGGGGGAAACCCUGAUGCAGCGACGCCGCGUGUGGGAAGACGGUCUUCUGGAUUGUAAACCACUGUCCCCAGGGACGAAAAUGACGGUACCUGGGGAGGAAGCUCCGGCUAACUACGUGCCAGCAGCCGCGGUAAUACGUAGGGAGCAAGCGUUGUCCGGAAUUACUGGGUGUAAAGGGAGCGUAGGCGGGGAUGCAAGUUGGGUGUCAAAACUACCGGCUCAACCGAUAGUCGCACUCAAAACUGCAGCUCUUGAGUGAAGUAGAGGCAGGCGGAAUUCCUAGUGUAGCGGUGAAAUGCGUAGAUAUUAGGAGGAACACCAGUGGCGAAGGCGGGCUGCUGGGCAUUUACUGACGCUGAGGCUCGAAAGUGUGGGGAGCAAACAGGAUUAGAUACCCGGGUAGUC
rnacentral:rRNA from 1 species